GAUGUUGGGGGUUGAAAACCCCAAACACAGCAUUUAGUUCUCUCUCAGCCGCCAGGUUUCCGUCCAAAUGUAGUGAAAAUUUGAAAUAAAUUUCCAGAAAAUCAUCAAACGAAGAUCCACUGCUGUUGUGUAAACAUGAGAAGUCAGUUUAUUGAGAUAAACAGCUGGUGUGUGAGGAGUAAAACACAGAAGCUAGAAAACAUUUGUGGGGCAGCUUCUUUGAGUCUAGUUCUUAUAAUUCUUCCAAACCUUAAACAAUUUGGAAACCGGAUCUAAUAAUAUAAUAAUAUACAGUAUGACGUGUCUGCUCCACACAGAUCUCAUGUUCUCAG